CGACCGGGCUUUUGCUGACAACCCAGGACCGAUGGUUGUGUUUGCCACGCCAGGAAUGCUGCACGCUGGGCAGUCCCUGCAGAUCUUCCGGAAAUGGGCCGGAAACGAAAAGAACAUG
rnacentral:sRNA from 1 species